GAUUUUUCCAUCCGACAGUUAUCAACAACAAAGUUGAAUAACUCAUCAAGAUCUAAAACUCUUAUUUUGAUCAUUUCUUCAUCCGACAAAAUGAUAGUAACAUUGUUCACAAAAUUGACGUAUUUCUUAUCUGUUUUUAUAAACUAUUAACACAUAUAUGUAAAAUUUGUGAACAAUAUUAUUAACACUUUGUCAGAUGAAGAAAUGAUAAAAACAAAUGUUUUAGAUCUUGAUGAGUUAUACAAUUUUGUUGUUGAUGAAUUUUCCAGUUGAAAUC
rnacentral:pre_miRNA from 1 species